rnacentral:rRNA from 1 species
CCCUUAGAUGUCCUGGGCUGCACGCGCGCUACACUGAUGUGUCCAGUAAGCACCUAACCUCUUCCGAAAGGAACGGGUAACCUUUGCAAAGCACAUCGUGAUGGGGAUAGAUUAUUGCAAUUAUUAGUCUUGAACGAGGAAUUCCUAGUAAGCACAAGUCAUCAGCUUGUGUUGAUUACGUCCCUGCCCUUUGUACACACCGCCCGUCGCUCCUACCGAUUGAAUGAUCCGGUGAAUUAUUCGGACUGUAACGCAUUCAGUUCUGGAUGCAGUUACGGGAAGUUUUGUGAACCUUACCACUUAGAGGAAGGAGAAGUCGUAACA